AUGCCUUGCUUGGCGCACGAGUACCACCCCAGGCUCCCGGCCACUAACCACUGCAAGUCCCUCUCCUGCCUCAUCCGGGAGACCUACGCGCACUGCCAUGUCCCCUGCCUCGGGACCCCCGGCGCCCGGUGGAGCUCCGACGACGACAGCGACGACGAUGACAUGCUCGACACGAAACAGGUGAUACUCAACGAGAUGAGGAGGCGGCAGCUGAAGAAGGAGUCGAGGUGCAGCGUGGGCUCGCCGACUCUGUCCAGCGCCUUCGUGUGGUCCUUCACCCCGCUCAUUCUGGAGAAGGUGUCCAGCCCUGAGAAGUUCGUCGUGGUGGAAGGGGAGCAGAAGGAAGAGGCCGAGGCGGGAAGCGACGACGGCGACAUCGAGAGCGAGGCGUUCUUCUCGGUGAAGAGCUUCUUCACGCGCAGCACGAGCCGGGCGGCGACCGUGGCGUCGUUGACGGACAUGGGCCCGCCGGCGACGUGGGAGGGCUUCCGGGACUGCGAGGGCUGGCCGUUCGGGCUGUGCCGCCGCCCCGCCGUGCCGCCGCUGCCCAGCACGCCGGCCGACUCCUGGCAGUGGCGCAAGCAGAGCAGCGGCCGCAACCUCGCCGUGAGCCCGCGCCCUGCGUAUGGUCACAAGAUCACAGCGACUUAA
rnacentral:rRNA from 1 species